GUGAUUUGAGUAGUAUUUUAAAUGUGGGCACAGUAUUCAGCCGACAGUUUUAAGCACACGAACUUGUUUGAUCUGUUGCCAUUGGUGUUGUAAGAAUGUGUUUAGAAAAUUUCCUUCACAGAAACUACAUGUCAAAACAUAGAGGUGGCUCCUAUAAAGAAUGCGAACAACCGUUUGUGGAGAUCAAUUUAGUAUUGCAAAAUAACAAAAGACUAGGAUAAG
rnacentral:lncRNA from 1 species